rnacentral:rRNA from 1 species
UACGUAGGGUGCGAGCGUUGUCCGGAAUCACUGGGCAUAAAGGGCGCGUAGGCGGCUUUGUAAGUCGGGGGUGAAAGCCUGUGGCUCAACCACAGAAUUGCCUUCGAUACUGCAUGGCUUGAGACCGGAAGAGGUAAGUGGAACUGCGAGUGUAGAGGUGAAAUUCGUAGAUAUUCGCAAGAACACCAGUGGCGAAGGCGGCUUACUGGUCCGGAUCUGACGCUGAGGCGCGAAAGCGUGGGGAGCAAACAGG